rnacentral:rRNA from 1 species
GGCGAACGGGUGAGUAACACGUGGGUGACCUGCCCUGUACUUCGGGAUAAGCCUGGGAAACUGGGUCUAAUACCGGAUAUGACCUUCUCCUGCAUGGGGGUUGGUGGAAAGCUUUUGCGGUAUAGGAUGGGCCCGCGGCCUAUCAGCUUGUUGGUGGGGUAAUGGCCUACCAAGGCGACGACGGGUAGCCGGCCUGAGAGGGCGACCGGCCACACUGGGACUGAGACACGGCCCAGACUCCUACGGGAGGCAGCAGUGGGGAAUAUUGCACAAUGGGCGUUAACCUGAUGCAGCGACGCCGCGUGAGGGAUGACGGCCUUCGGGUUGUAAACCUCUUUCAGUAGGGACGAAGCGCAAGUGACGGUACCUACAGAAGAAGCACCGGCCAACUACGUGCCAGCAGCCGCGGUAAUACGUAGGGUGCGAGCGUUGUCCGGAUUUACUGGGCGU